UACGGAGGGUGCAAGCGUUAUCCGGAUUCACUGGGUUUAAAGGGUGCGUAGGUGGGCCUGUAAGUCAGCGGUGAAAUCUCCGGGCUUAACCCGGAAACUGCCAUUGAUACUAUAGGUCUUGAAUUAUCUGGAGGUAAGCGGAAUAUGUCAUGUAGCGGUGAAAUGCUUAGAUAUGACAUAGAACACCAAUUGCGAAGGCAGCUUACUACGGAUCGAUUGACACUGAGGCACGAAAGCGUGGGGAGCGAACAGG
rnacentral:rRNA from 1 species